AGUGAACGCUGGCGGUAGGCCUAACACAUGCAAGUCGAACGGCAGCACAGUAAGAGCUUGCUCUUACGGGUGGCGAGUGGCGGACGGGUGAGGAAUACAUCGGAAUCUACUUUUUCGUGGGGGAUAACGUAGGGAAACUUACGCUAAUACCGCAUACGACCUACGGGUGAAAGCAGGGGAUCUUCGGACCUUGCGCGAUUGAAUGAGCCGAUGUCGGAUUAGCUAGUUGGCGGGGUAAAGGCCCACCAAGGCGACGAUCCGUAGCUGGUCUGAGAGGAUGAUCAGCCAAACUGGAACUGAGACACGGUCCAGCCUCCUACGGGAGGCAGCAGUGGGGAAUUUGGGACAAGGGGCGCAAGCCUGAUCCAGCCAUACCGGGUGGGUGAAGAAGGCCUUCGGGUUGUAAAGCCCUUUUGUUGGGAAAGAAAAGCAGCAGGUUAAUACCCCGCUGUUCUGACGGUACCAAAAAAAUAAGCACCGGCUAACUUCGU
rnacentral:rRNA from 1 species